AUUGAACGCUGGCGGCAUGCCUUACACAUGCAAGUCGAACGGUAACAGGUCUUCGGACGCUGACGAGUGGCGAACGGGUGAGUAAUGCAUCGGAACGUGCCCAGUCGUGGGGGAUAACUGCUCGAAAGAGCAGCUAAUACCGCAUACGACCUGAGGGUGAAAGCGGGGGACCGUAAGGCCUCGCGCGAUUGGAGCGGCCGAUGUCAGAUUAGCUAGUUGGUGGGGUAAAGGCCUACCAAGGCAACGAUCUGUAGUUGGUCUGAGAGGACGACCAGCCCCACUGGGACUGAGACACGGCCCAGACUCCGACGGGAGGCAGCAGUGGGGAAUUUUGGACAAUGGGCGCAAGCCUGAUCCAGCAAUGCCGCGUGCAGGAAGAAGGCCUUCGGGUUGUAAACUGCUUUUGUCAGGGAAGAAAUCUUCUGGGCUAAUACCCCGGGAGGAUGACGGUACCUGAAGAAUAAGCACCGGCUAACUACGUGCCAGCCGCCGCGGUAAAAC
rnacentral:rRNA from 1 species